rnacentral:lncRNA from 1 species
AUCCGCUUAAACUCACAAUCUCUGGGAAUGAGACCUAAGAAUCAGUACUUGUAGAAAGCUCCAGGGCCGGUUCCGGGCCGGUUCCGUGGCCGGUUCCGUGGCCGAGUGGUUAAGUUCCCGUGCUCUGCUGCGGCGGCCCAGGGUUCAGAUCCUGGGCGCGGACACGGCACCGCUCAUCAGGCUACGUUGAGGCCGGGUCCCACAUCCCACAACUAGAAGGACCUGCAACUAAGAUAUACAACUGUGGAAACUGAGGCCAAGAACAUUACAUAGGCAGUUCCUGGCCUUAAGUUGGAAUAAGGAAACCUGCAUUGGCUCAACCAAUUUUUGCUAUGAGAUUUAAAACAUUUCCCCUGGGAAAAGAAGUCUAAAUUUCUCCUCUUUGAAAAGGAAGGUUAGACCUGAGCUAACAUCUGCCACCAAUCCUCCUCUUUUUGCUGAGGAAGACUGGCCCUGAGCUAACCUCCAUGCCCAUCUUCCUCUACUUUAUAUGUGGGACGCCUGCCACAGCAUGGCCUGACAAGCAGUGCACAGGUCCACACCCGGGAUCCAAACCAGCCAACCCCGGACUGCUGAAGCGUAAUAAUAUUUUAUGGAGAUACUAGCCACGAUGUAGCUUAACUUGGAACUAAACCAAACAACUAGGAUUGGUGGAUGCAAUCAUCCCUUGGUAUCUGCGAGGAAUUGGUUCCAGGACCCCCUGCAGCUACCAAAAUGCACAGAUGCUCAAGUCCCUGAUAUAAAAUGGCAUAGUAUUUGCAUAUAACCUACACACAUCCUCUCGAUACUUUAAAUGAUCUCUAGAUUACUUAUAACACCUAAUGCAAUGUAAAUACUAGGUAAAUGGUUGUUAUACUGUAUUUUUCAGGGAAUAAUGACAAGAAAAAAGCAC